rnacentral:rRNA from 1 species
UACAGAGGAGCCAAGCGUUGUCCGGAUUGACUGGGCGUAAAGGGUGCGUAGGCGGCGGAGUAAGUUGGGUGUGAAAUCCCGGGGCUCAACCUCGGAAUUGCAUUCAAUACUGCUUCGCUCGAGUACUGGAGAGGAGACUGGAAUUUCCGGUGUAGCGGUGAAAUGCGUAGAUAUCGGAAGGAACAUCAGUGGCGAAGGCGACUUCCUGGACCAAUACUGACGCUCAGGUGCGAAAGCGUGGGGAGCAAACAGG